rnacentral:lncRNA from 1 species
GGGGUGCAUGUAACACUGAGAAUCAUGUAGAUAAUUUGGGGUGUUUGAGCACGCAUGGCCUGUGGGGAGUCUGGCCGGCUUGCCUCAUGUGGACCCCCCACCACCCUGGGGCAGAGGAGGGGGCCGGCUGUUGGGGCCGUCAUGGAAGCACUAGGGUUACACUAGGGCAGGCCCCAUGUCCCCUCUGGAACUCCUCACAGUUCACACCUUGAAGCCCAGGCACUUGCGAUGGGACCAGCGAGGUCAAAUGCAGGACCCCUGGUCCUCACUGUUACCAUGAAGUGAUGCAAAUGGCCGGUCUUCAGAAACCAGAGCUAGCCCCACCCGUGCCACCAAGGCACACCAGCCCCUGAGCAGUCGCAGGGCCCAGGCAGAAGGGUCCGGCAGGCUCCUCACUCAUGACGUGGCCUGAGGGGGCUGGGCAGCUGGUCCUCGGAGCCCCCACCUGGUGCACCAGGCCGUGAACCUCAGCAAAGGCCCCGUCUCUUGAUGCCCAAGGUUUGGCAAUGGUUGGGGGUUACUUUCUCCAGACCACAGCACCCUCGAGGCCAACACUGGGGAAAGCUGGAGCCCCUGCUCUUCACCCCCACCUCCCAGGGCUGUUGAACCCCAAGGAGCACCAGACCCAGGACCCCCCCAGGAGGGCCAGAGGCAGGAAGUGCCUGAUGGUGCCAGGGGAGGGUGGAUGCCUGACUAGGGCCUGAAAACAGAGGGCAUAGCUUCCAAUAAAGCAUGGAAAGAAAA